rnacentral:rRNA from 1 species
AUACGGAGGGUGCGAGCGUUAAUCGGAAUCACUGGGCGUAAAGCGCACGUAGGCUGCUUGGUAAGUCAGGGGUGAAAGCCCGCGGCUCAACCGCGGAAUUGCCUUUGAUACUGCCGAGCUAGAGGCCGGGAGAGGGUAGUGGAAUUCCAGGUGUAGGAGUGAAAUCCGUAGAGAUCUGGAGGAACAUCAGUGGCGAAGGCGACUACCUGGACCGGUACUGACGCUGAGGUGCGAAAGCGUGGGGAGCAAACAGGAUUAGAUCCCCUGGUAGUCCACGCCGUAAACGAUGGAUGCUAGGUGUCGGGGCCUUGAGCUUCGGUGCCGUAGUUAACGCGUUAAGCAUCCCGCCUGGGGAGUACGGUCGCAAGGCUGAAACUCAAAUGAAUUGACGGGG